rnacentral:rRNA from 1 species
UACGUAGGUGGCAAGCGAUACUCGGAAUCACUGGGCGUAAAGCGCACGUAGGCGGAUUGUUAAGUCAGGGGUGAAAUCCUGGAGCUCAACUCCAGAACUGCCUUUGAUACUGGCGAUCUCGAGUCCGGGAGAGGUGAGUGGAACUGCGAGUGUAGAGGUGAAAUUCGUAGAUAUUCGCAAGAACACCAGUGGCGAAGGCGGCUCACUGGCCCGGUACUGACGCUGAGGUGCGAAAGCGUGGGGAGCAAACAGG